GACGAACGCUGGCGGCGUGCUUAACACAUGCAAGUCGAACGAUGAUCAGGAGCUUGCUCCUGUGAUUAGUGGCGAACGGGUGAGUAACACGUGAGUAACCUGCCCCUGACUCUGGGAUAAGCGUUGGAAACGACGUCUAAUACUGGAUAUGAUCACUGGCCGCAUGGUCUGGUGGUGGAAAGAUUUUUUGGUUGGGGAUGGACUCGCGGCCUAUCAGCUUGUUGGUGAGGU
rnacentral:rRNA from 1 species